CGCCUCUGUGUCGCACCUGGAGAGUUUCCAGUAUUCUACCAGUCUCGAUUACGAGAGGGAGAGUCAAGCAAAGACGUACCCAUUCAAUUCCUAGCUUGGGCAGUGGCUAGCGAGUGGAAAGCAAUCUGCUACAAGU